rnacentral:ncRNA from 19 species
CGCCCACAAUCUGUUCAAACGGUUUCAACACGGAUGUAUUCGGGCGCGCUGUGCAAAAGCCGCGUGUCCGGUGGCAGACUUUUGGUCCGAGCUCUCUUACCGGGGGCAUCCGUGUUGGGAUCGUUCUUCGAAUGGAAAGGCAUUCGAACAUCCCACGAUUGGUCUCCUCGCGCUAACCCCGUAGCGUGUGGUUUUUAGCGGGCUCCAGGCCCGCUUUUUUU